rnacentral:rRNA from 1 species
ACGCUAGCUACAGGCUUAACACAUGCAAGUCGAGGGGCAGCAUGAACUUAGCUUGCUAAGUUUGAUGGCGACCGGCGCACGGGUGAGUAACACGUAUCCAACCUUCCGUUUACUCAGGGAUAGCCUUUCGAAAGAAAGAUUAAUACCUGAUAGUAUGGUGAGAUUGCAUGAUAACACCAUUAAAGAUUUAUUGGUAAACGAUGGGGAUGCGUUCCAUUAGGUAGUAGGCGGGGUAACGGCCCACCUAGCCUGCGAUGGAUAGGGGUUCUGAGAGGAAGGUCCCCCACAUUGGAACUGAGACACGGUCCAAACUCCUACGGGAGGCAGCAGUGAGGAAUAUUGGUCAAUGGGCGAGAGCCUGAACCAGCCAAGUAGCGUGAAGGAUGAAGGUCCUACGGAUUGUAAACUUCUUUUAUACGGGAAUAAAGUUUCCUACGUGUAGGAUUUUGUAUGUACCGUAUGAAUAAGCAUCGGCUAACUCCGUGCCAGCAGCCGCGGUAAUACGGAGGAUGCGAGCGUUAUCCGGAUUUAUUGGGUUUAAAGGGAGCGCAGACGGGAGAUUAAGUCAGUUGUGAAAGUUUGCGGCUCAACCGUAAAAUUGCAGUUGAUACUGGUUUCCUUGAGUGCAGUUGAGGC